UGGGGAAUCUUGCACAAUGGGGGCAACCCUGAUGCAGCCAUGCCGCGUGGAGGAAGACACCCCUAUGGGGCGUAAACUCCUUUUCUGCGCGAAGAAACCCCAGUUGUUCUGGGUGUGACGGUACCGCAGGAAUAAGGACCGGCUAACUCCGUGCCAGCAGCCGCGGUAAUACGGAGGGUCCAAGCGUUGUCCGGAAUCACUGGGCGUAAAGGGUGUGCAGGUGGGGCAGCAAGUCAGAGGUGAAAGCCCAUGGCUCAACCAUGGAAGUGCCUUCGAAACUGUUGCUCUUGAGUCCCGGAGAGGCUGCCGGAAUUCGUGGUGUAGCGGUGAAAUGCGUAGAUAUCACGAGGAACACCAGAGGCGAAAGCGGGCAGCUGGACGGGUACUGACGCUCAGGCACGAAAGCGUGGGGAGCAAACA
rnacentral:rRNA from 1 species